ACGAGUUAUCUGAACCUUCGGGGAACGAUAACGGCGUCGAGCGGCGGACGGGUGAGUAAUGCCUAGGAAAUUGCCCUGAUGUGGGGGAUAACCAUUGGAAACGAUGGCUAAUACCGCAUAAUGCCUACGGGCCAAAGAGGGGGACCUUCGGGCCUCUCGCGUCAGGAUAUGCCUAGGUGGGAUUAGCUAGUUGGUGAGGUAAUGGCUCACCAAGGCGACGAUCCCUAGCUGGUCUGAGAGGAUGAUCAGCCACACUGGAACUGAGACACGGUCCAGACUCCUACGGGAGGCAGCAGUGGGGAAUAUUGCACAAUGGGCGCAAGCCUGAUGCAGCCAUGCCGCGUGUGUGAAGAAGGCCUUCGGGUUGUAAAGCACUUUCAGUCGUGAGGAAGGUAGUGUAGUUAAUAGCUGCAUUAUUUGACGUUAGCGACAGAAGAAGCACCGGCUAACUCCGUGCCAGCAGCCGCGGUAAUACGGAGGGUGCGAGCGUUAAUCGGAAUUACUGGGCGUAAAGCGCAUGCAGGUGGUUUGUUAAGUCAGAUGUGAAAGCCCGGGGCUCAACCUCGGAAUUGCAUUUGAAACUGGCAGACUAGAGUACUGUAGAGGGGGGUAGAAUUUCAGGUGUAGCGGUGAAAUGCGU
rnacentral:rRNA from 1 species